GGGUAGGUGGCAGAGCGGUCGAUUGCGGCGGACUGUAAAUCCGUUUCUUUACAGACACAAUGGUUCAAAUCCAUUCCUGCCCA
rnacentral:tRNA from 1 species